UAACCAUAUUUUUGUCGGUAUUUAGGGAAAUUUGCACAUCCAACUAUUUGAUCUGGGAAAUGCAACGCCUCGCCACAGAAUGGGGCUAGCCCGUCCAUGCCCACCGGUCUGGUUGUCUGGGGGCGAGGAGGGGGCGCAGCCGCGCCUGGAGGAGGUCAUCUCGGCGCCCGCAUUCUCGUCGUCGACAUUGCCCACACGACAGUUGUGUUGUGUUGUUCCAUAAAUUGCAGGCUUGAUGUAUAUAUCUAUGACUAUUUUCUCAAGAAUAACAUGCAGACGACGGUCAACGCAUUCAUGGUGGAGGAAAAUAUUGGUGUUGAUCCUGUUUAGCAAAAGUUCGGCUUCGAAGAGAGAUUUACUUGAGUUUCCAUUAGAAAAACCCAUAGUGAUACAGAAAGGUUUUUGGCACAGUUUGACAUGCAUGAAAAAUUGCUACGGGUUUACUAUUGAACUGAAAGCUUGGACUGAUCCUUCUUUUUGGUAUGUAUUGUUCUGUAUCACUAUGGAUUUAUUACUGUCCUCGUCCGUUUUGUAGCCUCCGGUUAGGUAAAAUAUCUAGCACCGUGUGAUAGAUGUGUAGUCGACAGUGUAUCCCUUGGAUGGUUUCUACCACUAAAAGCUUCUGAUUCUUCCUCUUCGUAGUUGAUUUAGUUCAAUAAAAAACAGUCAGGCACUUAACUGUAGAUUUGACCGAGCGAAUUUGGGUUCUGCCUCUCCAGGAUUAGAACUGUAGUUAUUUCCUGUCAUGUAAUAUUGUUUUCCAUCAUAUUUAUUUAUUUAAUCUUGAAUAGGGGAAUUAUAAGAAUGCAAAUUAAUAAGAGUUGUUCAUAUUUUGCUAGCAAGUACAUGCUAUUAUUAUUACGGUGGAGUACCGAUUGCUGAAAUAUGUCUUCGACGUCUAUUUUGAUUUUUUGUUUCAGUUUACUGGAUAAAUUUUUCUUGCGUGAACUAAAACAUAGGAGCAUGCGCCAGAAGCUUGGUAUAGGCUAAAGUAUUGUGAUCAACUUCGACCAAGGUCCUGCAUUCUAUGGAAAUUGCAGUGUUGAAGCUGCUUCGACUGAUCCCUAAUAGAUCUUGACUUCACUCAGAAGUGAGGCAUAUUGAGCUUAAUAUAUCUUGAUUGAUACCUACGGAUUAUGUUGGAUUAGGUUCCUAUGUGCCUAUGCUUUUUGUUUUGCUUUUGGCCAAUUGGUUUUUAUCCAUUGUAUGAAUAUUUUGUGUCUUUGUGGUGAAAAAAACCUAACAGCAACAUUUAAACUUCUACCUAUAUUCAAUAGCUUAUCAGUUUCGUAUGAUCUGAAUUCUCACCUGACUUUUGUGCUGCUCAGAAAAUAUGUGGGUACGGAGCUCUACCCACAAACCUGGAUUCAAGUGAUUGGCGGAGGGUUCUAGGUUCAAUGGACAAGUCUAUCUAUAAAAAAUAGUUAACUAUAUAGUGUACUCCUAUGCUUCGUUAAAGCGGUGUAUGUUGGUUAUAGUGAACAAUCUUUGUAGCUUUUUUUGUAAAACGUACUAAACCCUGAUGUGUUUAGUAUAA